UACGUAGGGGGCAAGCGUUGUCCGGAUUUAUUGGGCGUAAAGAGCGUGUAGGCGGCCAGGUAGGUCCGUUGUGAAAACUCGAGGCUCAACCUCGAGCUGUCGAUGGAAACCAUCUGGCUAGAGUCCGGAAGAGGAGAGUGGAAUUCCUGGUGUAGCGGUGAAAUGCGCAGAUAUCAGGAAGAACACCCGUGGCGAAGGCGGCUCUCUGGGACGGUACUGACGCUGAGACGCGAAAGCGUGGGGAGCGAACAGG
rnacentral:rRNA from 1 species